AAAAAGACAAACCUUAGAUUUCCGUGUCUAACUUUGACUGUCUGUCUUAUAUAAAUUUUUUUUAUAAUUCAUAAUUUUAUUGUUGUUAGAUGAUAAAACAUGAUUAAUACUUUAUACGUGACUUGUUUUUUUAAUUUUUUAUAUAAUUUUUUUAAAUAAGACGGAUAGUCAAACAUUAAACACGGAAACCAGGUUUGUCUCUCUC
rnacentral:pre_miRNA from 1 species